AUACGGAGGUGGCAAGCGUUGCUCGGAAUCACUGGGCUUAAAGGGCGUGUAGGCGGAAAAUUAAGUCGGGUGUGAAAUCCCUCGGCUCAACCGAGGAAUUGCAUCCGAAACUGAUUUACUUGAGUGCGGGAGGGGAGAGUGGAACUCCAGGUGUAGCGGUGAAAUGUGUAGAUAUCUGGAGGAACGCCGGUGGCGAAAGCGACUCUCUGGCCCGAUACUGACGCUGAGGCGCGAAAGCUAGGGUAGCAAACGGGAUUAGAAACCCCAGUAGUCC
rnacentral:rRNA from 1 species